rnacentral:other from 1 species
UGUCCCCUGCGGUGUUCGUCUAGGCUAGAUAUUCUUUGAACCAAUAUAAAAAGCCAGGUUGCAGCUAUUAAGAGUGCUGUUGUGCGCGUCCCCUGCGGAUGUGCCUGAUGCGCUCAGGCCGCGACCCUCUUGAACCUCAGGUUCAAGAUGAUAGCCUGACGGCAUGCGCGGGGGGCUC